rnacentral:miRNA from 10 species
GAGGUGGGAGGAUUGCUUGAGCCUGGGAGGUGGAGGCUGCAGUGAACUGAGAUGAUACCACUGCACUCCAGCCUGAGUGACAGAGUAAGAUCCUGUCUC